rnacentral:rRNA from 1 species
GACGAACGCUGGCGGCGUGCUUAACACAUGCAAGUCGAACGGAAAGGCCCUGCUUUUGUGGGGUGCUCGAGUGGCGAACGGGUGAGUAACACGUGAGUAACCUGCCCUUGACUUUGGGAUAACUUCAGGAAACUGGGGCUAAUACCGGAUAGGAGCUCCUGCUGCAUGGGGGGGGUUGGAAAGUUUCGGCGGUUGGGUAUGGACUCGCGGCUUAUCCGCUUGUUGGUGGGGUAGUGGCUUACCAAGGCUUUGACGGGUAGCCGGCCUGGGAGGGUGAACGGCCACAUUGGGACUGAGAUACGGCCCAGACUCCUACGGGCGGCAAUGGUGGGAAAUAUUGCACAAUGGGCGGAAGCCUGAUGCAGCAACGCCGCGUGCGGGAUGACGGCCUUCGGGUUGUAAACCGCUUUCGCCUGUGACGAAGCGUGAGUGACGGUAAUGGGUAAAGAAGCACCGGCUAACUACGUG